rnacentral:rRNA from 1 species
GACGAACGCUGGCGGCAGGCCUAACACAUGCAAGUCGAGCGGCUCGGCGGUCGGGUGAGUAAUGCCUAGGAAUCUGCCUGGUCGUGGGGGAUAACGUCCGGUAACGGGCGCUAAUACCGCAUCCUAUCAGAUGAACCUAGGGGGGAUUAGCUAGUUGGUGGGGUAAAGGCAUACCAAGGCGACGAUCCGUAACUGGUCUGAGAGGAGGAUCAGUCACACGGGAACUGAGACACGGUCCAGACUCCUACGGGAGGCAGCAGUGGGGAAUAUUGGACAAUGGGCGAAAGCCUGAUCCAGCCAUGCCGCGUGUGUGAAGAAGGUCUUCGGGUUGUAAAGCACUUUAAGUUGGGAGGCGUUACCAACAGAAUAAGCACCGGCUAACUUCGUGCCAGCAGCCGCGGUAAUAC